GCCGGCAGCUAGCUCUCUGCAACUCUCACAUGGUCGCCCACUGAAGCUAAGCAGGGCUGCGCCCGGUCAGUACCUGGAUGAGAGACCACUUGGGAAAGCUAGGUUGCUACUCAUA
rnacentral:rRNA from 1 species